AGAGUUUGAUCAUGGCUCAGGACGAACGCUGGCGGCGUGCUUAACACAUGCAAGUCAUGGGGGCCCGCAAGGGCAACCGGCGAACGGGUGCGUAACACGUGAGCGACCUGCCUGAGUGCGGGGGAUAGCCGGCCCAACGGCCGGGUAAUACCGCAUACGCUUGUUUGAGGGCAUCCUUGGACAAGGAAACCUCCGGGGCACUCAGAGGGGCUCGCGGCCUAUCAGCUAGUUGGCGGGGUAAUGGCCCACCAAGGCGACGACGGGUAGCUGGUCUGAGAGGAUGGCCAGCCACAUUGGGACUGAGAGACGGCCCAGACUCCUACGGGAGGCAGC
rnacentral:rRNA from 1 species